rnacentral:tRNA from 1 species
CGGGCCGUGGCGUGGGCCGGUCUGCUGCUGGUGGCCUACGACGGCGUCACGAGCAGCGCGCGGCUCGUGACCGUCGCCCGACGGCUCGUCC